GGGGACGUUACGGAUUCGACAGGGAUAGUUCGAGCUUAGGUCGCGAGUCGAGGGGAUCGGCCUCGUUAAAACGUCAAAGCCAAUAACUGGCAAACAAAACAAUCUUUCUUUAGCUGCUUAAUUGCACUAAAGGUUCCUCCCUCCAUCGUCCAUGUGGUAGGGUAAGGGACUCAAACUAAGUGGACUACGCCGGAGUUCGCCGUCUGAGGACGAAGGAAGAGAACAACCAGACUAGCAACUUGGAAGCCUGUCGAUAGGCCGAAGAGUUCGCGAAAUGCUAAUAUAUCGACUACACUCGUAGAAGCUUAAGUGCCGAUAUUUUUGGACGUGGGUUCGACUCCCACCGUCUCCACCA
rfam:Bacillus gaemokensis strain JCM 15801 contig2, whole genome shotgun sequence.